GAUCAUGGCUCAGGAUGAACGCUAGCGGCAGGCUUAACACAUGCAAGUCGAGGGGCAGCGGGGAGUAGCAAUACUCCGCCGGCGACCGGCGCACGGGUGCGUAACGCGUAUGCAACCUACCUUUAACAGAAGCAUAACACUGAAAAAUUGGUACUAAUUCCCCAUAACAUUCGAGAAGGCAUCUUCUUGGGUUAAAAACUCCGGUGGUUAAAGAUGGGCAUGCGUUGUAUUAGCUAGUUGGUGAGGUAACGG
rnacentral:rRNA from 1 species